AUUCAUAUUUUUAUCUGCAGUUCCUCGAUAUUCCAAAUUGAUUCAAAAGAAUGUAUCGUGUUGUCACCAAGAUCAACCCAAUAUAACAGCUGACGUCCCAGUCUCGAAGUUCAUCACAAAGGGAGUUCCUC